rnacentral:misc_RNA from 1 species
GAAAUGCGAUAAGUAGUGUGAAUUGCAGAAUUCAGUGAAUCAUCGAAUCUUUGAACGCACAUUGCGCCCCUUGGUAUUCCAUGGGGCAUGCCUGUUCGAGCGUCAUUUGUACCCUCAAGCUCUGCUUGGUGUUGGGUGUUUGUCCCCGUCUCCGCGCGUGGACUCGCCCCAAAGUGAUUGGCAGCCGGCGUACUGGUCCCGGAGCGCAGCACAUGUCGCGCAAACGAGUGCCUUGGUACGGCGGCGUCCAUAAGCCCCUCUCUCACGCUCUUGACCUCGUAUCAGGUAGGGAUACCCGCUGAACUUAAGC